UUGGAUCAGUUUUUUUUUUCUUGAUCAGACCCUUUUAGUUCGUUUUUCUGUAAGAUUUAUCUUUCUGUUUAAAACUCACAUCUCUCACUCUAGUCCAAGGUGAGGUGGUGUUAUUGUAAUUGGACUAUUCUUUCUCUUAAUACAAAGAUACGCAGUUCUCCUGCGUGUUCGAUAAAAAAAGGUAGAAGGUCUAUUGUAAUUGUUCCCUAGUUAUGUACAAUAUCCUAAUCCACAAUGGAAGAUGAGCAGCUUAUUGAAAUUAAAAAUAAAAAAGAAACAGUUAGAAGACUAAUUCUUUCAUUACUGAGGAGUGAGGACAGUCCCAGACAGCAAGUCUGCCAAGAACAGUUAUCCCAUACAUUUAGCUUUGCCUCCAGUAUCUGCUUUCCUUUCUGUCUAUUAUACAGGCCCAGGAAUAUGAGCAACAACAAUGUCACAAACAUAGUGAAUCUUCUCCUGCCAUUGGUUGUUGCCAAAAUCAACUUGUGAUGCUUGUCUGCCUCCUUGAUUGUCUCAAAUCCUUGGGAAAAUAUGCUAUGCUAACUGGCCCGCGUUUUUUUUGCCCCAUU
rnacentral:lncRNA from 1 species